rnacentral:snRNA from 1 species
AUACUCUGGUUUCUCUUCAGAUAGCCUUUUAUUAAAGAUUUCUGUGGAGAAGAACAAAUCUGAGUUUCAAGUCAAUUUUUUGAGACCCUGUAAUACCGAGGUC